CUCCUGAUGCAAGCCUCCACUUUGACCACCCCGCUCCUAUACGAUGAGUGACGUCCCCGUCGAUCUCUCCGUCCCCCUGAAUCACAGACCCCAGAUAUCGGACACUGUCCCUCUUGGCAAUGGCCUUAGAACCAAUCAUCACGACCCUGCCUACUUCGCUCGGCUCGGCGCUAAACUUGCACUCCAGGUACUCUGUCUUGGAUCUGCUUAUUUUGAAACCUUUAGACUCGAGAGUCUGACUCCAUACCUCUAACCUUUCAAUAACACCGACCCUCGUCUCAUCUAUCAAUAAUAUAUCAUCAGCAAAUAGCAUACACCAAGGCACAUCCCCUUGAAUAUGUCGGGUUAG
rnacentral:lncRNA from 1 species